AUGCAUGUCUAAGUACAGCUUGGGAAGCAAUUCCUGGGCGAAACCGCAGACGGCUCAUUAAAUCAGUUGUGGUCUAAAUGGGCGAGAGAUAUCCUAUGGAUAACUGUGGAAAAUCCAGAGCUAAUACAUGCGAUACCAAGUCUCGACCUAACGGGCUUCGGCCUCACUAAGUCGGGAUGCUUUUAUUAGACCGAGCCACGUGCACACGAGACACGACCUUUGUCUUUGCGGAUAUUGGAAACGGUCUCUUCGGUUUGUGACGCACUAGUAAGCGCUUUAUGGUGACUCUGGAUAACACUUGAUGAGCGUGUCAUUUUUUGACACGCCGCCUACUUACGAGUGACUGACCUAUCAGCUAAAACGUAUGUUAUACGCAAACGUUGGCAGUAACGGGUAACGGGGAAUCAGAGUUUGAUUCCGGAGAGGCAGCCUGAGAAACGGCUACCACG
rnacentral:rRNA from 1 species